CUUUUUUUCAUAUUUUUGCAUUAUGAAUCUUGAUUUUUCAUGAUUCUAUAGUCCUAUUUCUUUUUUCUUCAUGAAAUUAAUUAAAUCUCGUAUUAAGCCUGUUUCUCUCUCUGUAGUUCCUUUCUCUUAAUUCGUCUAUGUUUUUGCUCAUUCAUGUACUUUUCUGUUCCCUUUUCUGGUUUUCCUCUUUGGUUCAAAUGUACUGUAUGACUUGUUGAUGUAUCAUCACCGGCUUUGCUUUCAUUUAACCUUCUUUCCUUUUUAGUGAAACUGGCCAUGGAUGCAUUAGAGGAGAGAGUCAAUGUUGAAUAUACAAUAGGAUCUUUGCCUUCAUUGCUGCAUUCUUAAAUCAUGCAUGUGCAUGUAAGAAUUUAAAAGAACGUGGCCCAGUCGACAUUUAUUUUAAUGCAUUUUUAUACAAGAGAGGCGUUAACAGCGGAGAAAGUACAUGAACAAUUGAAAUAAAUCAUAUAUUCUUGGACGGGUGCUGUUGAUUUAAAAAAAAGGUUAGAAAUAAUUACUUACUAUGAACACAUUCUUUAUUUCUUUUACUUUAUAACAGGACAGUAUUGCUAGAUUAUGUUAUUUUCAUAAAAGAAAACGAAGCACAAUUCCAGUUACAUUUUUUCCAUUUUAAAGACAGAAUACAGACUAGAGUUUCACCAACUCUAGUCAACAUACCAGUUCAAUAAAUGUUUACAUUUUAAUCCUCAAAGGUACAAGAUGGUCGCAUAUUCCCCUGAAAAUGAAUGUCUGAAAUGUCACAAAAUAAAGUAAAGCUUUUCUUUGCACAGAAUACAUAAAACUUCAACAUCUAUGUAUGAUUACUUUAUUGGAUGAGCACAGGGGUAAUUGUUAUGUUGGCGGCUAAAAAAAACAUUUUCUGUUUUUUAAAACUGAAAAAUGAAAAAAGGAGGAAAAAUAAAGAUGGAAAAUUUUCCUCCGAUUACAAUCUACAAGGAUAAUUAGAUAGAUUAGAGCUUUAAUAUGCGAUUUCAUUAAAGGAAUGAAUUCAAUAUUUAUUUGUUUUAUACGAUAUGAAAUGGUUUGGUUCAGUUUACUCUUUAUAAACCGCGAAUUGAAUUUAUUCAUUUAACUUUUUUUACUCUUCAUUGUUUAUAAAAACGGCACCUUUGAAAUGACGUAAAAUUGUACAAAAUUCAAACGUAACGUCAGGCGUAUUGAUAUGUUUUUGACGUUAGUCUUACUAUGACGUAGGCAACAUUCUUAAUACGAUAUAAAAUAAAUUUAAAACAUCAGAAAGCGCGUUACAACCAGAAUUAAAUUAUUUGAUGUUAAUGUGUUGCUUACGGCGACUGCGUUUAACAUAUUUUCUAUUGAAAAAUUUCAUGUGAAAAUUUUUGGACAAGUUUAUUAUCAAGUCAUUAUUCCUUGAAAAAAAAUAGUACAGAAAUGCAUAAUUUAUCAUUGUACACACCUUUGAUGCAAUAUGUGUAUUUUCAGGAAUUUUAAAGAGUUUUGUUUUAAACAGCAUGUUUUGAAGACACUUGUGCCUUCUUGAGAAAAUUUUAAAAUGUUUGUUUUAUUGUUUAAACAAUUUUUCAGUGUAAAGAAAAAACCCCAAAUUGUUUUACAAGACAGGACAUGUAAUUGUGUUGAUUGUUUAGAAAUCAUUCUUACAAAGCUAUCAAUAUUAUAUAUUGAAAAUUUAUCAAUACUCCAGAAAGUAAAGGAUGUACAAUUUCUUUUUUUUUUCUAUUUGCAGGUUGAAAGGGAGGUAACUGCUUUUGUUGUUUGGAGAGAGAAAUGCCAAAAAGAGUUAUUUUUCGUAGAAUUUGUAUGAAAUUAACUGUACAUUAUUUUCAUUAAAUUAAACAAAAUGC